rnacentral:rRNA from 1 species
UACGAAGGGGACUAGCGUUGUUCGGAAUCACUGGGCGUAAAGCGCACGUAGGCGGAUGUGUCAGUCAGGGGUGAAAUCCCGGGGCUCAACCUCGGAACUGCCUUUGAUACAGCACGUCUCGAGUCCGGAAGAGGUGGGUGGAAUUCCUAGUGUAGAGGUGAAAUUCGUAGAUAUUAGGAAGAACACCAGUAGCGAAGGCGGCACUCUGGGCCGGUACUGACGCUGAGGAGCGAAAGCGUGGGGAGCAAACAGG